UACGUAGGGUGCAAGCGUUAAUCGGAAUUACUGGGCGUAAAGCGUGCGCAGGCGGUUAUGCAAGACAGAUGUGAAAUCCCCGGGCUCAACCCGGGAACUGCGUCCGAUACCGGAAGGCUUGAAUUCGGGAGAGGGAUGCGGAAUUCCAGGUGUAGCGGUGAAAUGCGCAGAUAUCAGGAAGAACACCCGUGGCGAAGGCGGUUCUCUGGGACGGUACUGACGCUGAGACGCGAAAGCGUGGGGAGCGAACAGG
rnacentral:rRNA from 1 species